rnacentral:rRNA from 1 species
UACGUAGGGUGCAAGCGUUAAUCGGAAUUACUGGGCGUAAAGCGUGCGCAGGUGGUUUUGUAAGUCUGUCGUGAAAGCCCCGGGCUCAACCUGGGAAUUGCGAUGGAGACUGCAAGGCUUGAAUCUGGCAGAGGGGGGUAGAAUUCCACGUGUAGCAGUGAAAUGCGUAGAGAUGUGGAGGAACACCGAUGGCGAAGGCAGCCCCCUGGGUCAAGAUUGACGCUCAUGCACGAAAGCGUGGGGAGCAAACAGG